rnacentral:miRNA from 1 species
UGUAGUCCCAGCUAUUCAGGAGGCUGAGGAUCAGCCUCCUGAAUAGCUGGGACUACAGGU